GGGGAAAAAGCAAAGAAGCACAUGAUUUUAUAUACAGAAUUAACCAAAACUUAGGAAUUGGUGAUACCAAGUACCUCUAAAAGUGGGGGUAGAGGUGAAGCAUACAUGAGAGGAUUGGCUAAAAGUCUAUUUAAGAAUCAGACUUUAAGGGCCGGCCCAUGGCCAAGUGGUUAAGCUUGUGCACUCCACUUCAGCGGCACAGGGUUUUGCCGGUUCGUAUCCUGAGGAUGGACAUGGCACCGCUCAUCAAGCUAUGCUGAGGUGACGUCCCACAUGCCACAGCUAGAAGGACCCACAACUAGAAUAUACAACUAUGUACUGGGGUGCUUUGGGGAGAAGAAGGAAAAAUUGGAAAAAAAAAAACUAAAAAGAAAAGAAUUAGACUUUAUAUGUUUGCUUUAUGAAAAUACAUCAAGCUUUUGAUUUGUGUACUUUUCUAUAUGUAUUCUAUACUUCAAUAAAAAGUAAAAAAUAAAACGAGUUAAAGGGUUGGCCUGUUGGCAUAGUAGCUAAGUUCGCAUGUUCUGCUUCAGUGGCCUGGGGUUUGCAGGUUCGGAUCCCAGGCGAGGACCUACAUGCUACUCAUCAAGCCAUGCUGUGGCAGUGUCCCACGUACAAAAUAGAGGAAGACUGGCACAGAUGUUAGCUCAGGGCCAAUCUUCCUCAAGCAAAAAGAGGAAGACUGGCAAGAGAAGUUAGCUCAGGGCUAAUCUUCCUCACAAAAAAAGAAAGAAAGAAAAGAGUUAAACCCUACCUCUCCUCCCAACUCUGAGCAACAGGGCAAAGAUCACUCCCAUACCCUGGCAGAAAUCUGGAAGUUUGUUCCUUGGAGAGGGUUUUUGAAGUGAACGUUUUUGACUGAGAGUUUGAGAGAUAUCAUUUACAGUUGAUGUGGGAGCACCAAAACGGGAACGGGGGUUAAGUAAAAGUCUACAUACUCAGUGCCAAGACUCCCAGCCUUCUUCACCAACUUGGUUCCCAGACAUCAGUAGCCAGCCCUGUCUGGGAAAGAUGAGCCUCAAAAAGGGAUCCAAAGUUACUGACUGUGGGUAUUCCCCAACGAAUGGCCCAGGCAGAUUGACCCACAAAGAAUCCUACAGUCAACAAGGCCCUCCCAAAGGCACAGAGCUCCACUGGGUUUUGUAUCCUCACUCUUUACAAUGAGUUGACAGUCAAGGAUCACCUGAAAGAUAGAGACCAAAGUAAAGAAACAGAAAAAGCAAAACAAAGAAAAGACAGGCAUGAAGGGAGAAAGAAACUUCAAAAACAAAUCAUGAAUAUCUUCAAAGAGAUUCAUUCAUUCAUCCUUUCACUCAACAAAGAUUAUUCGUGCCCCACGUGCCAACCAUGGUUCUCAGGUGCUGGGAACAACAGUGAAGAAAACAGAGAUGUUUGCCUUUAUAAGCUAAUAUUCCAACUGAGGUGGGGUGAGGGAGAGAAAUGGAACAGAAAACAAUGAAGAAUACACAGAAUAAAUAAGUAAAAUUAAAUAGUGAGUUAGAAAGUGACAGCUGCUCUGGAAAAGAAGAGAGGAGCAGAGAAGGGAGACCAGGAGUGCUGUCUAGGGAUGGGAUGGAUGCAUGGGCACAUUCCAUUAUUAAACAGAGGCCACGGCAGGCAUACUGAGAAGAUGUGACUUGAGCAAAUCUUGAAGGAGUGAGGGAUUCUAGGCAGAAGGAACAGCUAAAGCCAAGGCGCUAAGGAAACUGAGGCUCCAGUGGUAAAUUGCAAUACCUUGUAAUAAGCUACAAGAUUCCUUCUAUGCCCUUCCCACCCAGGCACUAAUCCAUGACUCAACUACACACCUGCAAAACCAGGACCCUCUGGGACUGAA
rnacentral:lncRNA from 1 species